UUAUGAUGACGAUGAUGAUGAUGAUGAUGAGGAUGAUGGUGGAGAUAAUGAUAAGAAUCAUCAUCAUCAUCAUCAUCUUCAUCGUCAUCAUUAUCA
rnacentral:pre_miRNA from 1 species